AGCAUGCAGAAAUUCCCAGACCAGAGAUCAAACCCACACCACAGAAGCAACAAAGCUGAAUCCUUAACCCUCUGAGCCACCAGCUCCAUGACACAGGCAGGGCCAAAAAAAAAAGGCCUCUAGGUGAGCCUAACACACAUGAAUCUGAGAACUACUGAUGUAAAGUAAAGGGACCGGUGGCUUAAAAAAGAAAUGGUUGGAGUUUCCAUUGCGGUACAGUGGAAACAAAUCUGACUAGGAACCAUGAGGUUGUGGGUUCGAUCCUUGGUCUCGCUCAGAGAGUUAAGGAUCUGGCGUUGCUGUGAGCUGUGGUGUAGGCCGGCAGCUGUAGCUCUGAUUAGAUCCCUAGCCCGGGAACCUCCAUAUACCACUAGUGUGGCCCUAAAAAGCAAAACAAAAAAACAAACAAACAAAAAAAAAAAAACCCCACAAAGAAAUGUAUACAUUAAAGCCAAGAGAAACACAAGAAAUCAAACAUUUAUAUUGCACCUGCAAUGUAUCAAGUACAAGGUGCUUUAUGGGUAUUUAUGUCUUGUUUGGACCUAAAGCCGGCGAGGCUGUCUGUGUCCAGACUCCCAGAGAGCCCUCAGUGCAGUUCUCCCAGUAAGGGUUGCCUCAAGCUGCCCACACUGACUGCCCUACUGCCCCCUCUGCUGGGCCAAGGAUCACUAUCUGCUCAUUCUGUCCUAUGUCCUUCUGGGAUGCAGACACUGAAGUCUUUCAUCCCUCCUAAUAGCCAGAACGAGCUUGCAUGGACCGCAAUAGGGCACUCUGAGAUAACGUGCAAUGUCUGCUGGGUCCAAGCACCUUUGGGGCCUUUGCCACAAAGCUCUAGAGCUCCUCGGAUCCGCAUAAUGUAAGUCAGCAGCGAACUUUUUAGCAUGGAAUCCUUCUUCCAUCCCCUGGGCCCCAGGACCAUAAAUAAAAAGAAGACACUGGUGCUAGAUCCAAAUGAGACACUUUGCUAACUUCCACUACAACGGCCUGAGGUCACAGUCCUCCUUAUUUUGUUUGUUUGUUUUGUUUUUGUUUUUUGUCUUUUUAGGGCCGCACUGGCGGCAUAUGGAGGUUCCCAGGCUAGGAGUCUCAUGGGAGCUGCAGCCACAGGCCUGCACCAGAGCCACAGCAACUCGGGAUCCAAGCCUCGUCUGCGACCUACACCACAGAUCAUGUCAACGCCAGAUCCUUAACCCACUGAGCAAGGCCAGGGAUCGAACCCGCAACCUCAUGGUUCCUAGUCGGGUUCGUUUCCACCGCGCCAGACUUUCUUUUGGAAAUGUUGAGCCUGUGGCACCAGCUGCUGUUCUUGUAGAAAGUGGGACGUUUAAGACUCUGCAGGGUAUCAGCAGAGGCACGGUCAAGAGGAGCUACCACAGAGAGACGGUACCGCCCAACCAAGGUCUGCUUUACUGACCUUCUGUGACCCCACUGUUUGAGGCCUCCACAGUCUGAUUCCAAUGCUGAUGCAUCCAGUUCUCUGUUAAUGCCUGUUCUAUGGGGGACUGGAAUUUUCAUCAGCAUUGGCUCCAGUAAAAACUGCUCCCCUCCCAUUUAACCAGGGGUAUUACUGAUGAAUGGAGCAUGAGUCUUUGGGAUGCUUUCUGAUACCCUAGCCAAUGCUGGGUGAACAAACCGCACAGCAUCUGCAGUAGGCUCACCCAAACUGUGUCCACACUC
rnacentral:lncRNA from 1 species